rnacentral:rRNA from 1 species
UACGAAGGGGGCUAGCGUUGUUCGGAAUUACUGGGCGUAAAGCGAACGUAGGCGGUGUUCCAUGUCAGAGGUGAAAGCCUGGGGCUCAACUCCAGAAUUGCCUUUGAAACGGGAACGCUUGAGUCCGAGAGAGGAUGGCGGAAUUCCUAGUGUAGAGGUGAAAUUCGUAGAUAUUAGGAAGAACACCGGUGGCGAAGGCGGCCAUCUGGCUCGGUACUGACGCUCAGGUGCGAAAGCGUGGGGAGCAAACAGG